rnacentral:rRNA from 1 species
CCUACGGGAGGCAGCAGUGAGGAAUAUUGGUCAAUGGUCGGAAGACUGAACCAGCCAAGCCGCGUGCAGGAUGACGGUACUAUGUGUCGUAAACCUCUUUUGUACGAGAAUAAUAGCGGGUACGCGUACCGGGAUGAGUGUAUCGGACGAAUAAGCAUCGGCUAACUCCGUGCCAGCAGCCGCGGUAAUACGGAGGAUUCGAGCGUUAUCCGGAUUUAUUGGGUUUAAAGGGUGCGUAGGCGGUUGGUUAAGUCAGCGGUCAAAGGCCGGGGCUUAACCCCGCGCCUGCCGUUGAAACUGGUCGUCUCGAGUUGGAGUGCAGUAUGCGGAAUGCGCGGUGUAGCGGUGAAAUGCUUAGAUAUCACGCAGAACACCGAUUGCGAAGGCAGCUUGCUGACUCCACUCUGACGCUGAGGCACGAAAGCGUGGGUAUCGAACAGGAUUAGAUACCCGGGUAGUC